rnacentral:tRNA from 1 species
UAGGUUAGCUCUAGGAGUUCAUGUUUGUCGGAUGUGAGGGAGUCUAUUA